AAUAGAUACCCUGGUAGUCCACCCCGUAAACGUUGGGAACUAGUUGUGGGGUCCUUUCCACGGAUUCCGUGACGCAGCUAACGCAUUAAGUUCCCCGCCUGGGGAGUACGGCCGCAAGGCUAAAACUCAAAGGAAUUGACGGGGACCCGCACAAGCGGCGGAGCAUGCGGAUUAAUUCGAUGCAACGCGAAGAACCUUACCAAGGCUUGACAUACACCGGAAACGGCCAGAGAUGGUCGCCCCGCAAGGUCGGUGUACAGGUGGUGCAUGGUUGUCGUCAGCUCGUGUCGUGAGAUGUUGGGUUAAGUCCCGCAACGAGCGCAACCCUCGUUCUAUGUUGCCAGCACGUAAUGGUGGGAGCUCAUGGGAUACUGCCGGGGUCAACUCGGAGGAAGGCGGGGAUGACGUCAAAUCGAUCAUGCCCUUAUGUCUUGGGCUUCACGCAUGCUACAAUGCCGGUACAAAGGGCUGCAAUACCGUGAGGUGGAGCGAAUCCCGAAAAAGCCGGUCCCAGUUCGGAAUUGAGGUCUGCAACGUCGACU
rnacentral:rRNA from 1 species